rnacentral:rRNA from 1 species
GAAAUGCGAUACGUAAUGUGAAUUGCAGAAUUCAGUGAAUCAUCGAAUCUUUGAACGCACCUUGCGCCCCUUGGUAUUCCGAGGGGCACACCCGUUUGAGUGUCGUGAAAAUCUCAACCUUUCUCGGUUUCUUCUGGACACCGAAGGAGGCUUGGACUUUGGAGGCCUUUGCUGGCAUCUCUCUCUUUUGAGAGCCAGCUCCUCUUAAACAAAUUAGCAGGGUCCUCUUUGCCGAUCCUCGACAUGUGAUAAGAUGUUUCCAUGACUUGGUUUCUGGCUCUGUUGCCUUUGGGACCUGCUUCUAACCGUCUCGGUGAGACAAUGUUUGGGCAUGUCUCCCUUCUCGGGAGACUCUCUUGACCCCACGAACCCUUGACCUCAAAUCGGGUGAGACUACCCGCUGAACUUAA